rnacentral:lncRNA from 1 species
UUCUUUCCCCGUAUCCUUCACCCCAGAUUGCCUUGAUUCCUUUGGAUCCCCUUCCUGGAUCACAAGAUUGCGGUCCUGGAGCUCAGAUGAUCCCGGCGAUGAAGCCGAGUCCAUCGGAAAAUCCCUCGUCAACGUCGUUCUCGAAAUCGCCAAAAUCGCCUAAAAAUCGCCUUCAGUAAAACGGUGCGUUUCGUGAAAACAUUUUUUUUUUUUUUUUUUUUUUUAGUGGUGCAGAAUCACCAGGAAGUUGAAUAAAUCUCAUAGGAGUUGGGAUGAAGAAGUUAUCCCACUUUCAAAUCAGGUGAUUCCAGUUUCCCAGUUUGGGUAUAGCACAGCUUCAUCGUCGUUCCCAUCAAACCAGGAUGAUUCACUUUGUGAGAAGCUUUAUUUGGAUACAUAAAGUUGUGGAGAAUCACCAGGAAGUUGAAUAAAUCACAUAGGAGUUGGCGAAAAGAAGUUAUCCCACUUUCAAAUCAGGUGAUUCCAGUUUCCCAGUUUGGGAAUAGGACAGCUUCUGUAUCGUUCAAAUCAAACCAGGAUGAAUCACUUUGUGAGAAGCUUGAUUUGGAUACAUAAAGUGGUGGAGAAUCACCACGAAGUUGAAUAAAUCUCAUAGGAGUUGGC